rnacentral:lncRNA from 1 species
CACAGAAUCAUUAUUCUGCAUUAACACUGGUCUGUAUAGUCCCAGGAGGUAGAAUGAGGAAUGUGAAAUUUAAUUCACUAGCAUAGGAAAUAUCCACCUGUAAUCCCAGGCAACAUUAAACUGGGCUACUCUGCUUGAUAAUGAGCCCCUCCUUUUUACUGGAUGUGUUCAAGAAAGUGCUUAAAUACCACUUUUACAUGAAGCCAUGGCCACUAAUCACCUAAAAUAACUCUUUUUUCUACUUUUUUACAGCUAUUAUCGCUAGAGUUCUUGUAAGGAACUUUGAAUAUAUUUGAGCUUCCUGGCUAGACAAUAAACUGAGGACAGAGAAUAUGUCUCCUUGUAAGGAACUCUGUAUAACAGAACGCUUCCUAGGAAGAAAUCAGCAGCAGCAGCGGCUUCAUUAUUAUUAGUAUUUAAUCAAGGGAAAUUCCAGCUAUUUCUCCAAUAAAUAUAUAACUUCAACUUAGACUGGGUCUUCUGUGAAAGGAUCCCUCCAAGAAAAGAUUAGAGCAGGCCCUGUAGGCAAAUCCUUCCCCUCCCAAGGUGACCUGAUAACACACUGACCCCAGUGAGAAAGUGAGUGAAACUACUGAGAUCAAGGGAUCUCCUAAGAAGACAAAGACCAGGAUUCGACCAGUUCCCAAAUGAGGUCAACCAACAAAGCAAGUGUUGCAGAAGUAAAGUUCCCAUAAGAAAAAGAUCAUUGGAAUAUGUGACCCAAGGGCAAACCAUAGCCUGAAGGCUGAUGGAAAAGGCUGGUUUGAAGGCAGCCUGUGAUAGAAACUGGAAUUCCCUCCAGGACUAAUCUUCCUAGUGUGCUGGUCACCCAUUGGGCACAGGUGCUGAGCAUCUCGGAGGACAGAAAUGCAAAGGAGAUGCCGUGGGGGGUGCUGGAGAGGCCCUCAGGAAGCCAAGUGAGAUUCAAGCGAGCAAGCUUGUGUCUUGAGAGGGUGGGCCUGGAUUUCAGUUGCAGAGCUGCCUCCAGGAACUCCAGAGAUAGCAAUAGACGUGGUCAUAAGAUCGGAAAAUUGCUGAUGGUCAGGGGAGGACAACAUGAAGGCAUGCACAUCUUUGUCAAUAAUGAAUCUGCAAUGAACUGGUGUCAUACAACGGAAAGAUCACAAAAAAAGCUCUGGGUUUGAGCUGGUCCUUAUCACUUACGCUGUGUCCUUGGACAGGUAAACUCACCACUUUGUACUUUGUGCAACUCAUCUCAAAAACAGAAGGUAAUAAGAAAAUCUAUUGCAAAUGCCCAGCAGUUAUUGUAUGGGUAAAGUGACAAGUGACAAAAACACUUAAUAAAGUAUAAACAUCUAUGCUAAUAUGGUUGCUU